CCCUGUUCCUGGAGAGAUACCCUCCUGUAGGUUUUAACUCCAACCCUGUUCCUGGAGAGAUACCCUCCUGUAGGUUUUAACUCCAACCCUGUUCCUGGAGAGAUACCCUCCUGUAGGUUUUAACUCCAACCCUGUUCCUGGAGAGCUACCCUCCUGUAGGUUUUAACUCCAACCCUGUUCCUGGAGAGAUACCCUCCUGUAGGUUUUAACUCCAACCCUGUUCCUGGAGAGCUACCCUCCUGUAGGUUUUAACUCCAACCCUGUUCCUGGAGAGCUACCCUCCUGUAGGUUUUAACUCCAACCCUGUUCCUGGAGAGCUACCCUCCUGUAGGUUUUAACUCCAACCCUGUUCCUGGAGAGAUACCCUCCUGUAGGUUUUAACUCCAACCCUGUUCCUGGAGAGAUACCCUCCUGUAGGUUUUAACUCCAACCCUGUUCCUGGAGAGCUACCCUCCUGUAGGUUUUAACUCCAACCCUGUUCCUGGAGAGCUACCCUCCUGUAGGUUUUAACUCCAACCCUGUUCCUGGAGAGCUACCCUCCUGUAGGUUUUAACUCCAACCCUGUUCCUGGAGAGAAACCCUCCUGUAGGUUUUAACUCCAACCCUGUUCCUGGAGAGAUACCCUCCUGUAGGUUUUCACUCCAACCCUGUUCCUGGAGAGAUACCCUCCUGUAGGUUUUAACUCCAACCCUGUUCCUGGAGAGCUACCCUCCUGUAGGUUUUAACUCCAACCCUGUUCCUGGAGAGCUACCCUCCUGUAGGUUUUAACUCCAACCCUGUUCCUGGAGAGCUACCCUCCUGUAGGUUUUAACUCCAACCCUGUUCCUGGAGAGCUACCCUCCUGUAGGUUUUAACUCCAACCCUGUUCCUGGAGAGCUACCCUCCUGUAGGUUUUAACUCCAACCCUGUUCCUGGAGAGCUACCCUCCUGUAGGUUUUCAAUCC